ensembl:processed_transcript
ACAAAUGUGUUUGUAAGUUUCUACGACAGCAAAGAAGCUGAAGCUGAUAUAAGAGACAUUUAUCAACAGUUUUAAGAAAAUUUGAGAAGCAGCAGCAGCUAUGGACCCUAAUGUCAACCGUGGUUCGCUCGAACUUGCCUGAGGACACUCCAACGUCAGCGAACCGGAUGUAAAACAGUCCGAAAGAGGGAAUUGCCUGCUGUUGUAAUGACAGACUGCCGCCGCUAGAUAGAGAUAGAAUACAGGAGUCAACAGGGUCUUACAAUUCAAGCACAACUCAACGAAACACAAUGUUCCUUCCUCUCUUCUUCUGGCAGCAGAAAAUAGAGCCGUGGCUGAAUGCAGAAAGACACUGCGCUGCCGGCCGACCGCGCUCAUCUCCCUAAUUGUCUCUUCCUCCUAUAUUUAACCAUUUGGUUGUAUUACAUUUCAAGCGUCCCGCCGACCUUUGAUCUCAGUUGACCAGAGAAGGCCUAAUUUUAGAAACGGAUGCUAAAAAUGCUCUGGGAACUCGUUUGGGGGAUUUUGCAGCUCUCUGGAAGUUUGUGUGAACGGCCUCGGAUGUGGAUAGUGGGAUUCGAUGGCAGUUUCUCAUGAGAAUGCAGCGCUGUCCCGUCGGUGGAUGUUUACAGAGGGCACGUGGGGUCUUCAGAGGGGUGUGUUGAGGACGACGGCAGGUCUGCUCUCGGCACCAUGCUGAUACUGACAGGCUGUCCUUCCUCAGUGCUGGGUUUGUCUGUGUUUGUGAUUAGAUUCUGAUUAGCUCUGUUUACAGUUCCUCCUGGGUUCUGCGUAUAUAAAACCAACAGUGCGUUCGCAGGGUCUUAAAAAGUCUUAAAAUGUCUUAAAUUUCAAAAACAAAAUAUUAGGCCUUAAAAAGCAUUAAAUUCACAUAAAUUUUUAGUAGGUCUUAAAUAAUUUUAAACAGGUCUUAAUUUU